GCUGUCUGCCUACCAGAUCCACCUUCUCUUUCUUUACUGGAAAAAAUUCCAUGCAUCCUUCAAAAUACUCUUUCAUUGUCUUCCUGUGAAGUUUUCUCUGACCUCUAUCCUCUCUUUAGCUCCUUUUUAUCUUGUUAACUACACUAUUUUAUAUCAACACAAACUGUACUAUAAUUACAUACUUAUCUCUUUUUCCCUCCUCAGCUAUGAGUUCCUUAACAGCAGGUUUGUCAGGAGUUCCUAAGACUAUCCCCAGGUUCAGUGAUUCACUUGAAGGACUCACAGGACUCACCAUUGAGUUGCAGCACAGGGAAAAGACACACGGAGAGAAGUUUGGAAGAAACCAGCUCAAAGAGUCCCAGGUGUGCUGGUGCCUAACCCUGGCUGCCAAUCAGAAUUACCUAGGGGCACGUUCGAGAACUUCCCAGGGGAUGUCUAACUUCUAGCAUAACAGAGUGAGAAGGCUCACAAAUCCUCUUCCCACAAAGCAACUAUAAAGCUGGUCAAGAGUCAAAAACAACCUAGUUGGUGCUCUGGAAAGCAAGCAAGACAUUCAACAAACUGAGAAGUGUUUAUUCAUGAAACCCACUGGACUCCAGGUGAGAACAGCACAAGUCUGUGACUUUUCCUGCCAAGAGCUGCCCUCAUCUGCCCUGCCCUCAGCUCUGUCAAUUCAGAAGUUUAACAGGCGUGGGGCAGGCCUUGAAAACUAGCAAACUCACUGCCACUGCUGGCAGGGACUCAUUGGAUUUGCAGUGUUGUCAGUGAGAGCAGCAAGCCCAGAGGCAGGCAAGCAGCACGGAGGGCCAGAGGCCUGCUGCCAUGAGGCUGCUGUUCUAUCUGGGACAAGCAAUGGACUGGCACACCAGCUGGAGACUUAAUAGGGAGGCCUUGAAAAUGAGAUGGCUGUAGGGGGCUUAUAAAGCUCUUCACACAUCCCAGGUGGACUGGAGGCUCUGAGCAUGCACAGCAGACAGCAGUGCAGGCCCACACCACCCAUGCACACCUGGUCAUUAGAGCCCAUGCAUGCACACACACAGAGGAGCUGUAAAAGGAGACCAGGGCAAAGUACAGCUGGGGCGCACUCGCAAACAGCUUGCAGUACCGUGUGCUCCACAGUCCAACAGGUCCUGAGCAGAGAAGGGAGCCCUACCGGCUCGAGGUGUUUGACUACAAGCACUGACCAAUCUUUACUGAACACUAUGCUAUGCAGACACAGGGGCAACCUCUCUAGGAAACCAGGCUUAAAAAUAAGAACUAAUCAAAACGGAAGUACAGAGACAUCCAGAGUCAGAUACAGCCGGAGAGACAGACUUGAGAUUUAGUCCAGUCCAGUUACUUAAACAAAUAGCAAAUAAAACAAUCACCAUCCACUUGAGUUAAAAUGUAAAGAAUCCAGAACUGCAUCAAUAUAUUACCUAAAAUAUAUGGUGGUCAACAAAAAUUCACAAGACAGCAAAGGAAAAAGAAACCAGGACUCAUACUCGGGGGAAAAAUAAAAUUCUGGCAGUCAGUGGAAGUGGUCUCUGAGUAUUCCCAGAUGCUGGGUUUAGCAGAUGAAGACUUCGAAACAGUUACUAUAAAUAAGUUAAAAGAACUAAUGAAGCCAAGUUUAAAGAACUAAAGGACCAUGUGAGGAAACUGACUCAAUGAAUAGAGAAAACGAAGAGACAGGAAAUAUAAAACAAAAUGGAAUUUAGUUGUUAGAGCAACUAAAAUUAAAAUUCACUAGAGAGGCUCAGCAGCAGAUUUCAGAUGGCAGAAGAACAGAAGAAUCAGUGAACUUGAUGUUAGAUUAAUAGAAAUUAUCGAGUCUGAAGAACAGAGAGAAAAAAGAUUGAGGAAAACUGAACAAACUGAACAGACUGAACAGAGAGGCCCCAGAGUAUAGGAUACCCCCAAGCGUUCACAGAAGGAAAUAGAGAAAAAGUAGUAGAAAAAAAUAUAUGAAAAAGUAAUGACUUUCUACAAACUAGGAACAGAGGGGAACUUCCUCAACUGGAUAAAGAACACCUCCUUAAAGGCAGAGGAAUCUCUGAAAAAUGUCAAUCAGACUGUGGUACACCCUCGGCAUAAAGCUUC
rnacentral:lncRNA from 1 species